AUGAAGAUGCACAUGUCUGGGAGGAUAAUUGGGAUGAUGACAAUGUAGAGGAUGACUUCUCCAAUCAGUUACGCAUUUUACUAGUCCAUACUGCCCUCUACACCUGAGCAGAAGAAAGAUGAUUCAUAUGAAUAAUCUCUGGCCUUAAUAUUAUUCAUGGACUUUAGAGCUGAACUAGAGAAACAUGGUUAUAAGAUGGAGACCUCAUAGUAUCCAGAAGAAGUAUUGAAGCAACCUAAAGUUGAACUAUUUACUAAAUUCUAGGUCACAGAAUCCAGGAUGAAUAAACUUAAAAAAUGUUUAUUUCAUUA